rnacentral:rRNA from 1 species
UACGUAGGGUGCGAGCGUUGUUCGGAAUUACUGGGCGUAAAGGGCGCGUAGGCGGCCUUCUAAGUCAGACGUGAAAUCCCCGGGCUCAACCCGGGAACUGCGUCUGAUACUGGAGGGCUUGAAUCCGGGAGAGGGAUGUGGAAUUCCAGGUGUAGCGGUGAAAUGCGUAGAUAUCUGGAGGAACACCGGUGGCGAAGGCGGCAUCCUGGACCGGCAUUGACGCUGAGGCGCGAAAGCCAGGGGAGCAAACGGG